rnacentral:piRNA from 1 species
ACGCACCACGCAGAUGAUGAUACAUACAGA